UGAGUUUUCUGCAUGUUUUGGCGCUGCCAGUUUUUGCAUUUUGGAUUUUGCCUGUCUCCACAACCCGCGAGUUUUGUUCAUACCGGUUGUCUUGCCUUGUGUGUUGGAUUAAAAUCCCCUGAACACUAUGUUUUGGUUCUCAUCAAAUCUUCAGAACAUCAGAGCUUAUGUACAAGGUGGAGAUGGGGUGGCUUUCAGACGGGACCUGGCUCCUAUCGUUCACUUAAAAGAGUCGGUUCAGAGAGCCGACUUGUUCGCGACCAACACAUCACUAGUUUUUCGCAGCAGUGUAUUUAUGGGACAUAACCUGCACAAUUGGAAAUGGGAACACAUAAGGUAGCAUUUUUCGAUAGGCCAGCGCAGUUUCAUUUCUGUGGGAUGUUUUCAUUAAUUUAAUCACUGGGCAAGAAAAAUGCAUGGUGGUUAGAUAAGUAUUAACUUAAUAAACAUUCAUGCAGACCAA